GGUGAAUGCCUUGGCUCUGAGAGACGAUGAAGGACGUGGUAAGCUGCGAUAAGCUUCGGGGAGCUGCACACAAGCGAUAUAUCCGAAGAUUUCCGAAUGGGACAACCCAGCACACUGAAGGUGUGUUAUCCAUAGCAAUAUGGAAGUCAACCCUCUGAACUGAAACAUCUAAGUAGGAGGAGGAAAAGAAAAUAAUAAUGAUUCCCUGAGUAGUGGCGAGCGAAAAGGGAAGAGCCCAAACUUGCGCAGCGUGCUGCGCGAGGGUUGUAGGACCACAUUUAGAAACCGAUUUCAAGCUGAACUUUCUGGAAAGUUAGACCAUAGCAGGUGAUAGUCCUGUAGGCACAAAUAAUCGGGGACGCGUGGUAUCCUGAGUAAGGCGGGACCGGAGGAAUCCUGCCUGAAUCUGCCGGCACCAUCCGGUAAGGCUAAAUACUUCUCAGAGACCGAUAGUGAACCAGUACCGUAAGGGAAAGGUGAAAAGCACCCUAAAUAAGGGAGUGAAAUAGUACCUGAAACCGUACGCCUACAAGCGGUCGGAGUCCCGAUUUAUCGUGGAUGACGGCGUGCCUUUUGCAUAAUGAGCCUACGAGUUGCUCCUCACUAGCGAGGUUAAGUUCUUAAGAAACGGAGCCGUAGCGAAAGCGAGUCCAAAUAGGGCGACUAGUUAGUGGGGGCAGACGCGAAACUUUGUGAUCUAUCCAUGGGCAGGUUGAAGGUGUGGUAACACACACUGGAGGACCGAACUCAUUAGCGUUGAAAAGCUAUGGGAUGACCUGUGGAUAGGGGUGAAAGGCCAAUCAAACUGAGAGAUAGCUCGUUCUCCCCGAAAUGUUUUUAGGAACAGCCUCGGAUAUAGAAGUUUACUAGAGGUAGAGCUACUGAUUGGGCUAGGGGGCUUCACCGCCUACCAAACCCUGACAAACUCCGAAUGCUAGUAAAUAUCUCCGGGAGUGAGGCUGCGGGUGCUAAGAUCCGUGGCCGAGAGGGAAAUAACCCAGAUUAGCAGCUAAGGUCCCUAAGCGUAUGUUAAGUUGAUCAAACGAGGUGGAGUUUCUAUAACAGCCAGGAUGUUGGCUUGGAAGCAGCCAUUCAUUUAAAGAGUGCGUAACAGCUCACUGGUCGAGAGACUCUGCACGGAAAAUAAUCGGGCAUCAAACAUACCACCGAAGCUCUAAGAUUGCCGCCAGGCGGUAUAUCGGUAGGGGAGCAUUCUGAUCUGCGUCGAAGGUGUGAGGCGACUCAUGCUGGAGCGGUCAGAAACGAAAAUGUAGGCAUAAGUAGCGAUAAAAGUAGUGAAAAACUACUUCACCGUAAGACUAAGGGUUCCUGAUCAACGUUAAUCGGAUCAGGGUUAGUCGGGUCCUUAGGCAAACCCGAAAGGGGCAGCUGAUGGCAAACUGGUUAAUAUUCCAGUACCCGCUUUAGUUUCGAUGGGGUGACGGGGUAGUGAACAACCUGCGAGGCAACGGAUGUUCUCGUUAAAGCGUGUAGUUAUAUCUUUUAUAGGCAAAUCCGUAAGAGAUGGCGAACGUGAUAGUACUCGGAAGCUUCGGCCGAAGAGAUAAUGGUUCUAAUCAUACCCCCGAGAAAAACCUCUAAGGUUAGGCUAAAGCGGCCCGUACCGUAAACCGACACAGGUAGUCGAGGAGAAUAUCCUAAGGUGCUCGGGUGAGCCGCGGAGAAGGAACUAGGCAAAUUGAUGCUGUAACUUCGGGAUAAAGCAUACCACACUAUGUGUGGUCUCAGUAAAAUGGUUCAACCAACUGUUUAACAAAAACACAGGGCCCUGCAAAAUCGUAAGAUGACGUAUAGAGCCUGAUACCUGCCCGGUGCUGGAAGGUUAAGGAAGGAUGUUCGGCGCAAGCCAAAGCUUCUGACUGAAGCCCCAGUAAACGGCGGCCGUAACAAUAACGGUCCUAAGGUAGCGA
rnacentral:rRNA from 1 species